rnacentral:rRNA from 1 species
UACGUAGGGUGCGAGCGUUAAUCGGAAUUACUGGGCGUAAAGUGGGCGCAGGCGGCCGAGCAAGUCGAGUGUGAAAGCCCCGGGCUUAACUUGGGAAUUGCGCUCGAAACUACUUGGCUGGAGUGUGGCAGAGGAAGGUGGAAUUCCAGGUGUAGCGGUGAAAUGCGUAGAGAUCUGGAGGAACACCGAUGGCGAAGGCAGCCUUCUGGGCCAACACUGACGCUCAUGCACGAAAGCGUGGGGAGCAAACAGG